UACGGAGGGUGCAAGCGUUAAUCGGAAUUACUGGGCGUAAAGGGCUCGUAGGCGGCCAACUAAGUCGGAUGUGAAAUCCCCAGGCUUAACCUGGGAACUGCAUCCGAUACUGGAUGGCUUGAAUCCGGGAGAGGGAUGCAGAAUUCCAGGUGUAGCGGUGAAAUGCGUAGAUAUCUGGAGGAAUACCGGUGGCGAAGGCGGCAUCCUGGACCGGCAUUGACGCUGAGGAGCGAAAGCUAGGGGAGCAAACGGG
rnacentral:rRNA from 1 species